CUGUAGAGGGAGAAGGGUCUGGUUGCUGGGAGCUAGACAUAGGGUACUGGAGUGGAGCAGGGCUGGGGAGCUUCUGCCUGGAAAGCCCCAGGCUGUGGUCUAGGGUAAGGUCAAGAGGUGCAAAGCUUAGCCAAGCAAAGCCAGAAACCCAGGAGGAAAGCUUCUCAGAGGGCAUUUCCCACCCAGGUUGGAGCCAUCUCAGGAAUCUCACCAGAACUUUUUACUGAGAUUUUCAGCCCCAUUUUGCAGACUUUGCAGCCAGCACAUCCAACGGUCCACGCUGCUUCCUGCAGCCCCCAUUGGCCUGGAACAGCAAACAGCGGCCAGUGGGAGCUGUGAUCGGCUGAACCUGCAGACGCUGCAGCACCCCUGUGGAAUAGAGCAGCUAUCAUCCCUAUUGUACAGAUUGGGCACUGAAGCACAGAGAAGGAAUGCACCCGAUCACUAUUCCCUGAUUAAAACCUGGAGCCUGAGGACAGAAAUACAUUUUGCAAAGGUUUUGACAGUCACUGUCAACAUGAUUGUGUAUGGAGUUUUUGACAACAUCAUAGAGAUCAAUCAGAGGAGAAACGUUCUGUUUGACUACGUGUGAAUAUGGACAGCUAUUGCGUGUUUUUUCAGCAGACCUGUACACAAAAGAGAAUUUCUUAGAUGUGUUUCUUUGUGACUGGCUCCCAGGUGGAAAGCUGUCUCAGACUUCUAGGUUUGGGGGUCAGCACUCACCCACAGAAUGAACUGGGAGAACACUGGCUCACCUUGUACCUGUGUAGUGUGAUCAUGGAGAGUUUUUGACUCAUACGGACACCCUCCCCCAAUAGUAGGUCCUUUCCUAGAAGCAUGAUGAAAUUUCUAAACAAAAAUGCCACCAACAUUGUUUCACAUUAGACACUUACAAGACCUCCAUUCUGUCCCCUGUAGUAUCACUGUGUGUUUUUCUUACAUCACUGUAAUAUUUAUCUUUCGACCAGAUUUUAAAAUUGUAUUCUAAUGACUUAGUGCAAAAUGACCAGCUAGUGACGAAUUUCGUAAAAAAUAAAAAACCAUAAGAUCUUAGGCAUGUCUUGGCUCAUUCAAAACCUGUUUCCACAAGCCCAUGGACAUCUUCCAAUGACUUUCAUUAC